CAGACAUCUAUAAUAGGCUCUGAUGCCCUCUUCUGGCCUGCAGGGAGGUGGAUGAGACGACUGGAGACCGUCAUGUUGAGUGAAGUAAGCCAUUUUCACAAGAUACUAGGAAUUCAUCCAAGAAAUGCUCAAUGCUUGCUUUGAGGACAGAUGUCAUCAAAGUGCUCUUGAAGGUCAGAAGAGGGCAUUGGAUUCUCUGGAACUGGAGUUCUAGAUGGUUGUAAGCCUCCCUGUGACUGCUGAGAAUUGAAGCUAGAUCCCCUGUAGGAGCCGUACGUGAAAGGUUGAAGCUCUAAUGCUGAUAGGCUCUAACUCUUUAAGAGACAGACCCUGCCUCCUGACAACAGUCAGGAAAUCCUAGGAACAGGAAAUCAUGCUACGUCACCAGCUACGCAUUACGGCCUGCGUGAGCACUCUGGGCACGUGUGGAACCUCAGUGCACAUGGGCAGUCUUCCCUUUAAAAGCUCCAACUUCCCUGCUGCUCGCUCUCUUUACGCCACUCUCUUUCUGCUCACUCCUUCUCUGCUCUGCUCUU